GCGGCAGGGGUUUGCCAUCCACCGCGCCAGCUUCUUUCAGGACGUGGCCUUCCUCCUGGCACUCGUCGCCGUGGGCGAGGUCACCGUCUGGGCUACCUCCGCCCAUGACGCGCUCGCGGAGGACGACCACACCUCUGCCUCCGCCGUCGUCUAUGACGGGUGGUCAUGCAGCCCCGGCCCAAGGGAGGUGACGAGUUGGGUGGAGAGAAGGAAGAAAGGCUUCUGCUUGGAGCCAAAGGUUAAGGGAGGGAGGAGAAGCUCGGGGAGAGGAACGACGGCGGCGUUGGGGGCAUGGAGGUGAUCCACGCUGUGACCCGAAGACGAACUACACCGAUAGCCUGUGGAGGUGAUUCUAUCGGUGCUGUGGGCUGCUGCGAGCCGCGUGAGCGCCGCAGCGAGCAUGGCCGCGGAGAAACGAAGAAAAAUCUCGUUUCUCGAGGGCACGGCUAUGACUGCUUUAAAUCCCGUGCUAGCCGGGCUAUAAACUUGGGCCAGGUGCACAAACAUGGCAAGUUGCAGCCCACGGGCGCAAAGCUCAGCUGAGCCACCCUCACAAACGCGCCUAAGUGUCUUGCUCCGGUUCACAAGCUGGUUUACUACUACUGGCUAGCCACCACCGUAGCUUCGAUGAUAUGAAGGUAUUCCUUACCUCAUCGUGCUGAAGCAACACGAGGACUAUAGACGCAAUUCCAUUGUUGCACCCACAGAAGUGAUUUGCAUCCUGUUUCGAGGCCCGCCCUAGGGCUACCAGCGCCACGAGAAGGCAUGCAGCGCCCCUAAUGAAUUUGUUGACUACGUUCUCCUUGUACCGUGUGUUGGUAACCACCGGCGGCACAUAGCAAGCCAGCAUCGUGGCGAGGCCGGCCAGGCCGUGGGACUUGCGGCUUCACCAUACCUAUGGAGCCUUUUUCCUAUGCCUUAAGAAAGUUGGUCGAUUCUUACGUCACUAAAAAGUUAGCUCGAACCUCUGUACUAUGGUGCUAAACUUUUUUAUCCAACACACCAUUCCAUCUCUUUUUGGUCCUAAUGGUGGCUAAUGGCCUUAGGAAAUGACUUUGUUGCCCAGGCUUGAGAGGCUCUUUGAACAAAUUUAUUUGCCUCUAUGCCAUUCCCAGGCCAAGCAUUUUUUGGCGCCAAAUGCUGUGUUGUUGGUGCCAAAGGCACUGGUGUUGGCGCCAAGUGAGCCCCUAGUCUUGUCCUAUAUAUAUAGGUCAUGAGCCCUCCAUAUGUAGCUCUAUCUUCACCUCUCUCUCUCUCUCUCUCUCUCUCUCUCUCUCUCUCUCUCUCUCUCUUCUGCCUUAGCCAUGUCUCAAGCUUCUUGCAGCUAUGGCCGUAGAGUGAAGUUAUUGCUUUGCCUCAACUAUCAAGUGCUUGCCAAUCGGUUCAUCUUGAUGUCCACGAAGAAUCACAACCGUGCCUUCAACAACUGUCCCUAUUAUGCAAUUGGAGGCUGUUAGUAUUAUCAGUGGGAGGAUGAAAUGCGGGACAUUGAAGUGCAGACAACUACAGUUCCUGCUCCAAUACAUGCAGUUCCCCCACAGGCAGUGGCGCCAACUGCUGGUUUUCCUACUGCAUGUCCUCUAGUCACCAUCCAAGAAGGUUCUCAGACUGCUGGAGGUGUAGGCAAUGCACAGGUGGACAAUAAGGUGUUGCAGCAGCUUAGGUGGAUUGAAAAGAUGGUCUAUGUUUGCAUGUUUCUUCCUUUGUAUGCUAUUUUCAAGAAGUAGAUGGUUAUGUGUGUGAGUAAUCUUGUAUGAAUGAAUGAAUGAAUGUC